CAUGCAAGUCGAACGGAAAGGCCCUUUCGGGGGUACACGAGUGGCGAACGGGUGAGUAACACGUGGGUGAUCUGCCCUGCACUUUGGGAUAAGCCUGGGAAACUGGGUCUAAUACCGGAUAGGACUACGCGAUGCAUGUCGUGUGGUGGAAAGCUUUUGCGGUGUGGGAUGGGCCCGCGGCCUAUCAGCUUGUUGGUGGGGUGAUGGCCUACCAAGGCGACGACGGGUAGCCGGCCUGAGAGGGUGUCCGGCCACACUGGGACUGAGAUACGGCCCAGACUCCUACGGGAGGCAGCAGUGGGGAAUAUUGCACAAUGGGCGCAAGCCUGAUGCAGCGACGCCGCGUGAGGGAUGACGGCCUUCGGGUUGUAAACCUCUUUCAAUAGGGACGAAGCGUGAGUGACGGUACCUAUAGAAGAAGCACCGGCCAACUACGUGCCAGCAGCCGCGGUAAUACGUAGGGUGCGAGCGUUGUCCGGAAUUACUGGGCGUAAAGAGCUCGUAGGUGGUUUGUCGCGUUGUUCGUGAAAACUCACA
rnacentral:rRNA from 1 species